AAGACCUUGCGCUUUUGGAGCGGCCGAUGUCUGAUUAGCUAGUUGGUAGGGUAAUGGCUUACCAAAGCUUCGAUCAGUAGCUGGUCUGAGAGGACGACCAGCCACACUGGGACUGAGACACGGCCCAGACUCCUACGGGAGGCAGCAGUGGGGAAUUUUGGACAAUGGGCGCAAGCCUGAUCCAGCCAUGCCGCGUGAGUGAAGAAGGCCUUCGGGUUGUAAAGCUCUUUCAGCCGGGAAGAAAAGGCUACGACGAAUAAUCGUAGCUCAUGACGGUACCGGAAGAAGAAGCACCGGCUAACUACGUGCCAGCAGCCGCGGUAAUACGUAGGGUGCGAGCGUUAAUCGGAAUUACUGGGCGUAAAGGGUGCGCAGGCGGUUUUGUAAGUCAGAUGUGAAAUCCCCGGGCUUAACCUGGGAACU
rnacentral:rRNA from 1 species